rnacentral:lncRNA from 1 species
CAGGAGCAGACACGGAAUAACAGUGCGGAGAGGCGUGUGGAUGUGAAAGAGAUUCCUUGGCCCACGCAAGUCCUAGAGAGGAUGCCCUAACCCGCUGCGGAGGGAGCACCCAGCAGCAAAUCCAAGGAGUUGUACCAAUAAUCUAGAAGAUCGGAGUUCUAAAAAAACGCAUCUCUGCGACCCUUCGGAUCAACUGUGGCUAGUGUGCCCCUCCAGGAGGGGCUGGAGGAAGCCCAUAGGGUUGGGAGCCAACACCAGCAGGACGGUGAAACUCCAGCUGUGGCCCGUCUGUCGCUCCUCCCCAGGUCUGCACUCCACCUCGCAGGGAGGUAAUUGCUGGAAACGAAAACGAAGUGAAUCUUUCCAAAUUCUUCUGGAAUCGCUGGUUACGAUGAUUUUCCAGUC